GAAGAUUUGUUUACCUGUUACUACUAAACCUUAUUUUGCUUAGCUCUAUUGCGAAUAAGCCUUAACUAAUGGUAGACACUUUCACACCUGGUCGACAUAACUACAUCAUCAUGUUCUUACUAAGAGAGAAGGGUUUCAAUAGCUUUUGUCGACAUAAUUACAUCAUCAGCGAUUUUCUUGUGUUUCCUUGCAUGUGUAUUUGAUUCAGCUGCUAAUCAGUUUGGAAAUCGUUGACGAGACUUGGUCACUGUUUUUGGGUCUGAUUUUGUUUUCAUGCUGAUUCAGAAGGAUGAG